GCUUAUUUCCUGGUCUUGUUGCCCUCCACUGGUUUGGUUGCAGAUGAAAAUGUAACGUGAAUACAUCCAGUGCUGUGCUCCGUGGGGAUGUCACUGAAAAUACAGCAGGCAGGAUAAGCUCCAUUUCUACAAGAUAAAGCCUAUCCCUCAGCUUGGUUUGAAGUGCUAAUAAAAACACCUGUACACAUGAAUCUGUCAAGCAAUUGAAUUUGGGUCAGCUGCUAAUUAUAACUCCCUCUUUUUACUUCUUGGAUGGAAGAUGAUCAACUCUGCUGAAGUCUGUGGUGAGGUCCCUGCUACAGAAAUCACUUGUAGCAAGGCUGAGGCUGAUUCCAUCAUUCCAGAGCACACACCUGGCAAUUUGUGAAAAUUCCAUGAUUUCUUAUCCUUAUGAGGUAUCCUGGCUGAGGGCAGGGCACACUUGUGAAAUGGUUUGGAGAGAUUCCCUCUCUGUCUCCAUGAAGAAUAAGCAUUUUUGGUAAUUUCCACAGAACUACUGAAAACUUAAGGGAAAACCACUGCAAAGUGAAGGGUGAUUUCCACAUGGAUCCCAUUCCCAGCUGUGGAAGAGACACA